CAAUCGUCUUGCGGCUCAUUUAUUAACACCAGUCAAAGUAAUGUAACGAAAUAAUACGAAAUAAAAUAAAAACUUUCAACAACGGAUCUCUUGGCUCUCGCAUCGAUGAAGAACGCAGCGAAAUGUGAUAAGUAAUGUGAAUUGCAGAAUUCAGUGAAUCAUCGAAUCUUUGAACGCACCUUGCGCUCCCUGGUAUUCCGGGGAGCAUGUCUGUUUGAGUGUCAUGAACUCCUCAACCCAUCAGUUUCUUGUAGAUUGAAUGGUGUUUGGAUUUUGAAUGUUGCUGGUCUUUCGAGACGUAGCUCGUUCGUAAUGUAUUAGCAUCUCUAAUUCGAACUCGGAUUGACUCAGUGUAAUAGACUAUUCGCUGAGGACACUUUUAUUAGUGGCCGAAUGAGAUAAUUGUAGACGCUUCUAAUCCCUAUAGUCAACUUUGUAUUAGACCUCAGAUCAGGCAGGAUUACCCGCUGAACUUAA
rnacentral:rRNA from 1 species